rnacentral:rRNA from 1 species
CAUGCAAGUCGAGCGGCAUCAUACAGGUUGGCAAGCGGCGCAGGGUGAGUAAUACAUGUAAAUAUACCUUAAAGUGGGAAUAACGUACGGAAACGUACGCUAAUACCGCAUAUUUAUUACGAGAUAAAGCAGGGGCUUGAUAUAAAACAAUCACCUUGCGCUUUUAGAAAAUUACAUGCCGGAUUAGCUAGUUGGUAGAGUACAAGCCUACCAAGGUAACGAUCCGUAGCUGGUCUGAGAGGAUGAUCAGCCACACUGGGACUGAGAAAAGGCCCAGACUCCUACGGGAGGCAGCAGUGGGGAAUAUUGGACAAUGGGGGGAACCCUGAUCCAGUCAUGCCGCGUGUGUGAAGAAGGCCUUUGGGUUGUAAAGCACUUUCAGCGAAGAAGAAAAGUUAUAAAAUAAAAAGUUAUAACUAUGACGGUACUCGCAGAAGAAGCACCGGCUAACUCCGUGCCAGCAGCCGCGGUAAGACGGAGGGUGCAAGCGUUAAUCAGAAUUACUGGGCGUAAAGGGCAUGUAGGUGGUUUGUUAAGCUUUAUGUGAAAGCCCUAUGCUUAACAUAGGAACGGAAUAAAGAACUGACAAACUAGAGUGCAGAAGAGGAAGGUAGAAUUCCCGGUGUAGCGGUGAAAUGCGUAGAUAUCUGGAGGAAUACCAGUUGCGAAGGCGACCUUCUGGGCUGACACUGACACUGAGAUGCGAAAGCGUGGGGAGCAAACAGGAUUAGAUACCCUGGUAGUCCACGCUGUAAACGAUAUCAACUAGCCGUUGGAUUCUUAAAGAAUUUUGUGGCGUAGCUAACGCGAUAAGUUGAUCGCCUGGGGAGUACGGUCGCAAGGCUAAAACUCAAAUGAAUUGACGGGGGCCCGCACAAGCGGUGGAGCAUGUGGUUUAAUUCGAUGCAACGCGCAAAACCUUACCUACUCUUGACAUCCAAAGUACUUUCCAGAGAUGGAAGGGUGCCUUAGGGAACUUUGAGACAGGUGCUGCAUGGCUGUCGUCAGCUCGUGUUGUGAAAUGUUGGGUUAAGUCCCGUAACGAGCGCAACCCUUGUCCUUAGUUGCCAACGCAGAAGGCGGGAACUUUAAGGAGACUGCUGGUGAGAA